AACGCACGAGACCUGCGGACCUGCGGAGGGAUCAUUACCGGGUAAUCAUGCGGCUCCAGGAGAGAGGGGGGCGUGCCCUCCUCUCCCUGGCAGCCCAUUGCCUUCACCCUUUGUAAACCUGUCCACAGUUGUUGGCGCAUGGGCGCGAGGGAGCCCCCGAUUCUUCGGGGCCCCAGGUGCCCGCCACACAACCCCCAAAACUCUGCUUCAAACCUUGCGGUCUGAGCGAAUUAUUUCGAA
rnacentral:misc_RNA from 1 species